AUUGAACGCUGGCGGCAGGCCUAACACAUGCAAGUCGAACGAGUGGCGGAAGGGUUAGUAAUGUCUGUGAAACUGCCUGAGGGAUGGGGAUAACUACUGGGAACGGUAGCUAAUACCGCAUACAUUCGGAUAUGCCAGGAUGGGAUUAGGUAGUGGGUGGGGUAAAGGCUCACCUAGGCGACGAACCCUAGCUGGUCUGAGAGGAUGACCAGCCACACUGGAACUGAGACACGGUCCAGACUCCUACGGGAGGCAGCAGUGGGGAAUAUUGGACAAUGGGCGCAAGCCUGAUGCAGCCAUGCCGCGUGUAUGAAGAAGGCCUUCGGGUUGUAAAGCACUUUCAGCGGGGAGGCGUUACCCGCAGAAGAAGCACCGGCUAACUCCGUGCCAGCAGCCGCGGUAAUAC
rnacentral:rRNA from 1 species